GCAAGUCGAACGAGAAAGCGGGGGCAACUCCGCGAGUAAAGUGGCGACCGGGUGAGUAACACGUGACUAACCUGCCCUCGAGCGGGGGAUAACCCCGGGAAACCGGGGCUAAUACCGCAUAACAUCCUCGAUACGAAAGUGUUGAGGAUCAAAGGAGCAAUUCACUUGAGGAGGGGGUCGCGGCCGAUUAGCUAGUUGGUGGGGUAAUGGCCCACCAAGGCUGAGAUCGGUAGCCGGCCUGAGAGGGCGCACGGCCACACUGGAACUGAAACACGGUCCAGACUCCUACGGGAGGCAGCAGUGGGGAAUUUUGCGCAAUGGGGGAAACCCUGACGCAGCAACGCCGCGUGGAGGAUGAAGUCCCUUGGGACGUAAACUCCUUUCGACCGGGAAGAUAAUGACGGUACCCGGAAGAAGAAGCACCGGCUAACUCUGUGCCAGCAGCCGCGGUAAUACAGAGGGUGCGAGCGUUGUUCGGAAUUAU
rnacentral:rRNA from 1 species